GUUAGUAUUAUAUAAAUGGUUUUUUUUUGUUUAUUGUAUUUUAUAUUUAAGUAUUUUUAUUUUUUUUUGUUUUAAGUAGAUUUUUUGAAUUACUUUGUUUUUUGAUAGUUAAAUUUUAAUGUAAAUGAUUUUUUUUUUUAUAUUUAAAGAUUUUUUAUUAUUUUACCUUUUGUAUCAGGGUUAAUUAAUUAUUGUUUUUUUAUUAAUAUUUCUCGAAUCGGGGAGAUUUACUUUUUUAGGAUUUUUUAUGUUUCAUAAUGAUUUUUAAUUUUUAAGUAGUAGUGAUAUUCUAUUCGUUUUCCGAUAUAUCUAGUUUCCUGAGAUUAAAUUUAAUUUUAAAUUGUUUUUUAAUUUGAUAAUUUAUUAUCUUUUUAUUACUCAUUUUUUAUUAUUUAGGGGUUAAGCUCUAAAUUAAUCUAUAAUUUAUUUAUGGGUAAAAUUUUCAUAGGCUUGGAAUCAGCCAUUGAUUAAAGUGCGUUUUAUUUUAAUUUUAUUUAUUAAUUAUUUUUUAUUUUAUUUAGAUUAUUUAUUGGGAUUGAAAUUGUAAUUUUAUUUAUUUUUUAAUAAUGAUUAAAUUAGUAUAUUUUUUUGUUUUUUAUAAUGUUAUUGUUAUAUUAUUUAAAGGAAUUCGGCAAGGUAUAUUUAUUUCCGCCUGUUUAUCAAAAACAUCUCUUUUAGUGUUUAUUAAAGGUAGGGCCUGCUCACUGAAAUUUUAAAGAGCCGCGGUAUUUUGACUGUGCAAAGGUAGCAUAAUCAUUAGUGUAUUAAUUGUGCACUGGAAUGAAAGGUUUGACGAGAAAUAUUCUGUCUCUAUUUGAUAUAUAUAAUUUUACUUUUUAGUAAAAAGGCUGAGAUUUUUUUUUAGGACGAUAAGACCCUGUAGAGUUUUAUUUAUUUAUAAUUAUUGCUUUUUUUUUGGUUUAUGAAUUUAUUUAAUUAUAUUUAGAUUUUGUUGGGGUGAUGUGAAUAAUAUUUAAACUAUUCAUUUAUUUAAUUCAUUGAUUUAUGUUAAUUUUGAUCCAUUCUUAUUGAUUAGAAGAUAAAAUUACCUCAGGGAUAACAGCGCAAUUAUUUUUGAGAGUUCAUAUUGACUAAAUAGAUUGUGACCUCGAUGUUGGAUUAAGGUUAUUUUUUAGGUGCAGGUGCUUAUUUAUUGGUCUGUUCGACCAUUAAAACCUUACAUGAUCUGAGUUCAGACCGGCGUGAGCCAGGUUGGUUUCUAUCCAAAAUGUGUUUAUAUUUUCUAGUACGAAAGGACCGUUAAUUUUGAUUAUUUUAUUAUUUUUGAUUGUAAUUA
rnacentral:rRNA from 1 species